AGGAGUUAUGAAUUGAAGAACCUGGAGAACGAUGAAGAACGAACCAGUUGCUGCAAAAGUACAAUUGAGGAAGAUCCGACAGAUCCGGCUCCUCCUCCUCCGCUCUCCUCUUCUCUCUCCCUAUUUUUCUAGAUUACAACUAGAACUAACUAGAACUAGAACUAGAGGAACUAGAACUAGAACUAGAUGAACUAGAACUAGAUCUAGAUGAACUAGAGGUAGAACUAGAAGAACUAGAGGGAUCCUCUCUACUUGGAUGAAGAAUUGAAACCCUAACUUUGAUUCUGUACAAGAGGUAUGAUCUCCAGGGGCCAGGGGGGUCUGGUUUUAUAGUCCCUUCAAGUGAAUCUAGGCCAUCAGAUCAAACCGACAUUGAUCGUGUGGUUUUCCUUGAAGUAUUAGGUCGGUGGAGCACGAUCCCCGAACUUCACCCUGAUUGGUGGAAAGAGGUGGGCGGACGCCCUCAGGACUAGGGCGGGCGCCCAGUGCCUGAGCCCUCUCGGCCUCCGCUUCGGUCCCGUGGCUUCUGGAGUCUUCUAGAUGACGUAAAAUUGCGCGGCACGUUAAUAUCUCUAUGUCAAGCCGACGUGUGGGCCUUUCUUCCGUAUUUCCUGAUAACCCCCUGCAGAAAUAGACAAACACCAAAACUUGUGGAAUUCUGUCAGAUAAAACCCUAAGUCUAGGUGUUGGUUGCAUUUGGAUCCUUUUCCAUGAUUAAUUGAUGGUUAAUUGUGAGCAUUAAGGACCGUCAACAAGCUCCCCCAAGCUUAACCUUUGCUCGUCCCUGAGCAAAGAUGAACUCAAGAGUUUCUGCAGUGGUUUCAUAACUUAAAGAUACACAUGCGUUUAAACAAGAUCUCAUCUCUGGUUAGAGUAAACUGUUAAGACUUAAAACUUACUCAUUUACCUUUCACCAUGAGACUUGUAACCGUCACUUCUGUCUUGAGUAGUUAAAAGAUAGAACAGUCUAGUCAAGCACCAUGUCUUUUGUUCUUCGAUUAACUAUAGCUCUGGAGUUUUUGCAGAUUUUCAAAUAAAACUCAGAGAUUCCUUGUAUGACUCUCUCUAGUCUCUCAUUUGUGGUAUUUCUGGAUCCUUACCAAGGCAGUAAUGGUGUAUGCCUUCUCUCAGAGUAUGUGGUAUUUUUGGUAUGAGGCAUAGUGGUAUUGCCUUCUCUCUCACCAUACUCUAAUAAGGUUUUGAUAUCUGGAGCUCAUAGGUGGGAGACAGCUAAUACAUACUUACAAGACAUUUAUUGCAUAGUCAAACCAUGGAUCUAGAAGAACAAGUCAAUAAGUCAAAUCAAGAUGUGCAUGUGUGGCGAAUGAAUGAAGUAUGGUGAUGAUGGUAAUAACAAUGGUGAAAGUCUAAUUCUACUUAUCCUCUUUUGAGGGGAUACAUACCUUUCUUGCUCUUUUGAAACUUUUUGAGGAGAAUGAGAUGCUCUAUAUAUUUUCUUUUUCUUUUCUCUCAGGUGGGUAUCUUGUACCCCUAAUUCUACUAUCGGACACUUGUCCAUUUUUACCUCUCGUCUCACUUUUUUUUCUUUCGAGGUUCCGGGCACUUGCCCCUUUUUAUUUCCUCGUAUCUCUUCUUUUUUUUCUCUUUUUUUUUCUUUUUUCUUUUUUUUUUCUUUUUUUUUAGAGCACUCAUCUCUUGAAAUAAUAUAGCAAGUGGUAGUAACAAGAUAACUUGAGCAUUUAUUUCACAGGGGAAAACAGAAAUAUUUUUGGCUAUUCUCUCCCGGAUUAGGAGUAGAAUAUUUUUGGGUGGUUCUGGAGAUGGAAAUGGAUGGAUAUAUGUGGAUGCGUACUUCCGGAGUAGAAGCAGCAUGUAUGAGUGAACGUGCAAGUGAAUCUUGAUUUAACCACAUGACAAGCUCCUAAGGGUCUACACAGCUUGACCACACUCAAUGCUCAUAAGCAGUAAAAAGUAAAUGUGUGGCUCAAAGUUUAGCAAGCAUGUAUAUAUGGCUGUGGUAGGAAUUUAAACUCUCGUCAUACAGGAACUCAUCAUGCAACAUUUUAAAGAUUUUCAAAGAUAAAAUUCUCCAGAAUUCUAGCAUCUCUAAGAACAGAUAAACAGCAGCUCAACCUUCCUAUAUCAUAUCCGUUAACGACUUAGACUUCAGAUCAAGUACUCUUCCCACAAGUUCAGGUUUAGAGCAAAUCUUAAUUAAUAACAGUUAUGCCUAAACUUGAGAGAGAUUUCAAUUUUUGAGAACUAGUCAUGGCAGAGCAACUAUUCAUUAUUUCCAUGUGAGAGCUUAUCAUGAGGGUUCAUAGCAAACUUUAUUUAUUUAUUUAUUUAGCAAACUAAGCAAAGAUAUAUAUAAGCACAAAAUCUUUAUUUGGGUUUCUAUGAUUAUGCAUCAUUUUAUUAUUAGAGUAAAGUAUAAACAUGAGUAGAAUACUUAGCUGGAUAAAUGGGGGUGCUCUCCCCCAAGCUGGAUUUUGACGUAAUUUCUUCUCAUGUAGCUAGCACGUGGUGGAGGUGUAUUUGAAUGUCGGCAGCAAUCUGAUAGCGAUUAGGAUGUCCUCCGUCUGCUAGUCUUCUUUGAUUCUUGAAUUCUGUGGAGCUCAAAUAGACAACAAAGCUUUGUGGAACUAGUUAAGUGUUAGCAUAAAAACUCUUAGCCGUUAUCAUGUUGAGCUUCCUCUAAUAAAUUUUACUCUCUUUGGUAGGAUCAUAAAUUUGUUUUUAUAUUUUCAUUUUUAUAGGACAGGAAUAUAUUUAUUUUAUUUUUACACCACCACAGUGAAUGUACUUAUGGGUUUUAUGCCAUGAGCAUACUCACAUGGGGCUUACUAUUUUUAACAUUUUUAUUUUCUUUUCGAGAUGAUAUGAACCUGAUUAACUAAGCAAACUAUUUUAGAAUAAUUGAAAGGAAAAAGAUAACUACCAAGUUUACCUCUUGGCAAGGCGUUCGGUGUUUUUAAGUCCUCCGAACGGGACUCUCCUGUUUCCUCAGUCGUCCUGGGAUUCGCUGGAUGGCGUAGUCGGUGGUUCCGGUGGCGCCUGCUCUUCAUGUAUAACUAUCUUCUUUCUCCACACCUGACUCGGUGCUACGGUCUCCUCAGGACAGUUCUGUUCAAGUUGUAUGUCUUCAACUUCUUCUUCAUAGUCUACCCAUCCGUCCUUGAUGAUUUUGCCUUCUCUGGUUACGGUUGCGUCGUCCUCUUCUUGUCCUGACCUGCUUAGAGUCUUCAACUAUAUAAUUAAGGUCAGUAAAAUAGCGGCAUACCUUGUUAGAGGGGAAGUGCAUGUGGAUUUCUCUGGUUCCAAUGUAGAUGAUUGCUUUAACAGUGCUGAGGAACGGUCUUCCAAGGAUGACGGGCAGAUCGAAUUCGUCUUCUCUCAUGUCAAUAACCUUAAAAUCAUCUGGAGCUGAAUGUAUGUCGGUUUUAGUGGCAUGGUUCCGAACAGGAGUUGAUAGGUGACUGCGGCCAUUAUGUUGACGUUAGAUCCGGUGUCGUAGAGUGUCUUCUGAAAAGAAUAUCCGUUGAUUGUGCACUCGAUGCUUGGAACACCAGGGUCGUCCUUCUUGAUCAAGAAAGGUGACUUGAGUUGACGGUCUUGACCUCCUUGAGCUGUAGUGACCAUCUUAGCUGACUCGGUACACAUUUGCUUAUUCUUGUUCCUCCUGUUGGUCCUCUUCCUUAGUUCAUGUCAGGAUUGCUUUGAGAUUUGUGUAGUCUUGUUUCUUGAAGGAAAACGUCUCCUUCCUCCCCUUGAUGUAGAAACUGAUCUUGGCAGCACUAGCGUAGAUGACAGUUCCCGAGGUGUUCAGGAAUGGCCUCCCUAGGAUGAUGGGUGCCGUCUCAUCAGUACCAGUCUCUAUCACCACGAAGUCUACUGGAGCGUAUAAGGUACCAACUCGGACGUAGAGGUUCUUCAAUAUUCCCUUUGGGAAACUUAGUGUCUGAUCUGCAAGCCUGAGCAUAAUGUUGACGCUGAAGCCAAAGUUACAGAGUGCUUCUAGGAAGUUCACCAUGCCGAUGGAGAUCGAGAUGACGGGACGUCCUGGAUUGUAUCUCUUGGCCGGCAGAAGGUCAGUAAUUACUUCCACAACGGGGUUACUCCAGUAGUUACGUCCUCAAGCAUCUCAGGGUAGUGAUUGUGUGAGUGUCUAGUAUCUCCAGUGUGUUUGUGCUCGUAGAUCUAGGUUCUUCACUUAGUGGAGUCUGGGAGUUGUAAAACUCCUUUAUAUUUUGCUCGAAGUGUAUCUGCUCAUAGAGACAAGGCAGAGAUCAAGUGCAUGGGCCCUGUUGGUGGAAAACACCAACAGAACCAAAAGUGUAUUUGUGCUUCUCUAACCUUAAGCAUAGUGAGCAAGACAAAGUUGAUGGAUAACAAGAUCAUGAGUGUAACAUUUAAAACAUUUGUUAGAUCAGAUCACUCAACCUAAUGGAAAGAUAAUCUAUCUAUAUUUAUGUCGUUUUUUUUUAUAAAAUAUAUCUUCCAAAGAUUGCGUGUGCAACAUUUUAGCUCAAAUGAUUAGGAGUGUGAGAUCACAAAGGUGGAAGGACUAAACAUGUUGAAUCGAUUGGGUUGGUUAAUCUAGAGUUGUAAAUCAUACAUGUUUGUCUCUUUUAUUCAUGUGAACGCCAGAACCAAGGUGAAGCUUAUAAAAGUGAUAGUCAAGUACCUUAAGAUGUUACCUUACUUGAAGAGUGAUGGUACAAUAUCACCUUGUGGAAGCUUUCCUUUCUUAGCGGUUGUGCAUCAUGUUUGUGGCACCCUCCAUGGAUCAUCUCUUGUGAGCUAUGCCUUCCUUGUGUAAAUUGUUAAACUUCAUGUGUCUCUCUCUUUGUCUCCAAUGUGAGUGUAUCUCAGGACUUCCCAGGUCGAUAGUGAAAGUUUUCCUAAGGGGUUAGUCCAACAAAAUAUACCAAUGUCUACACAAGCAGUUUUUAGUUCAAUAACCAAACUAGACUCCAUGUCUAAUUAGAUUAAGGAAGGCUGUUUAACCUAAGCACCAUGCUUAAUUUAAAAACCAAUAGAAGUAUGUACAGUACUUCCAAACUAACACUUACUAGGAUAAACAAAGGUAGCGUGAUGGCUUUUAUAGAGAUCUACUCAAGUGGAGAUGUAGUGUGAUUACUAUUUAACAAAUUGAGCAUGUCUCAAAGGUAGGGACAACCAACAUAGCAACAUGGCAAAGGAUGUUUUUAUGUAAAGUACUCCCCCAAGCUUGAAUUUUGCAAAAUUCAAGUUUGGAUGAAUUUAAUUCAAUGUUGUAUGAUGAUUGGUUGUACAUACCUUGUGCUUGUCAUUCAUCCGAUCUUCUUGCUCCAAUCCUGGAAAGGUUAGUGAUAAGAAUACCCGAAGGAAUAUUUUUACAAUUAUCCUGAUAUGCUCAACACACAAGGUAAUGUUGUAAAUAAUUAAAAGCUCAUGUUACGAUCUGAUCAGUGCUUGUUUUAGGACACUAAGCUUGUCCUUGGGAAACCAUCAAUUUAUGUCAGUGAAGUGGUUUCCCCUCCAACGCUGACCUAUAUCAAGAUCAACUCAACGAGAUCUGCAAAAUUUAUUAUAGACAUAUGCAUCGACAACCGCCCUUUUAAAGUUUUUAUGAAUAGAAAGGAUGAGGGGGUUGGAGAUCUCGAAUGUGGUGAUGUUGGAAAAACCAAUGGAUUUGUAAGAUGUUGCAUAUGAGCAUGGAGCAAAUGAAGUGGCUAUGAAAUAAUUUCUAUGCUCAUUAAUGCUUAGAGUGAAAUCCAUGUGGUAUGGUGAAAAUGAUAAGGUGAGUGUGGUAAAAAAAAGAAAAGAAAAAGGAUAUACGGACGACUUGGUUCGAAACUAGCACAGCUACCGUUCCCCGGCAACGGCGCCAGAAAGCUUGUUGGGUAUUUUAAACGCAAACAGAAAAAUCCGCAAGCGCACGGAUACCAAUGUAGCCUUCACCCGGGAGUAUUCCAGAGUAUCGAUUUUCCACAGAGAACGUGAGUGUACUAAUUAAGAUCCAAGAUCGCCCAAGGAUAACUAUAUGAAUAUUUUUGGUGGGAAGAGAGGAAGUUUCCUGAGAGUUCUCUAGUUGAUCUAAGAAUCAAGAAUUACUUCAAGAUUAUCUAUAUCGGGACAUCAGAGCACUAACCACAGAAAGAGAUGAGAAGGGGGCUAGGAAGGUCUGACUACGGUCCUACAAACACCGAUCCGAACGUGGUGGAAUACGUCGACCGUUAGGGCUGUCACUACCCUAAGGCUACCACAACAAUCCGCAGGAUUGGGUGCAAUUCCAGGUAAUCGCAAGACUAAACACCACGUCUAAUCUAUUAAUUACUACUCUAGCGUUAUAAAGACUAGAGCACUUGAUGCAAGCGGGAAUCCAAUAAAUAACUUGAAUGUAAAUAAAAGUAAUUAGAGAACUCAGGAGUUAUGAAUUGAAGAACCUGGAGAACGAUGAAGAGCGAACCAGUUGCUGCAAAAGUACAAUUGAGGAAGAUCCGACAGAUCCGGCUCCUCCUCCUCCGCUCUCCUCUUCUCUCUCCCUAUUUUUCUAGAUUACAACUAGAACUAACUAGAACUAGAACUAGAGGAACUAGAACUAGAACUAGAUGAACUAGAACUAGAUCUAGAUGAACUAGAGGUAGAACUAGAAGAACUAGAGGGAUCCUCUCUACUUGGAUGAAGAAUUGAAACCCUAACUUUGAUUCUGUACAAGAGGUAUGAUCUCCAGGGGCCAGGGGGGUCUGGUUUUAUAGUCCCUUCAAGUGAAUCUGGGCCAUCGGAUCAAACCGACAUUGAUCGUGUGGUUUUCCUUGAAGUAUUGGGUCGGUGGAGCACGAUCCCCGAACUUCACCCUGAUUGGUGGAAAGAGGUGGGCGGGCGCCCUCAGGACUAGGGCGGGCGCCCAGUGCCUGAGCCCUCUCGGCCUCCGCUUCGGUCCCGUGGCUUCUGGAGUCUUCU
rnacentral:lncRNA from 1 species